UGUGUGGGGUGCUUGGGUGGUUCAGUUGGUUGAGCAUCUGACUCUUGGUUUUGGCUUGGUUUCUUGAUCUUAAGGUUGUGAGAUCAAGCUCCAGGUGGGACUCUGUGCUCAGCAGGAGUCUGCUUGGAUAUUCUCUCCCUCUGCCCCUUCCCCUGCUCUCUCUCUCUCCCGCUUUCUCUCUCUUUCUCUCUCUCAAAUAAGGAAAUAAAUCUUUAAAAAAAUAAAAAUAUAACUUCCUAGGAUGAAGGUAUGAUAGACUGAGGAAGACAAGAGAGUAAGCAAGCACACAAGGCAGAAGGUGAUUGUAAUCUUUCACAUGGGGAAUGAUAGAGAUGAUAAGAAGCAGUUGGCUUUGGAAUAAACUGUGAAGGUACAGCAGAGAGUGUUUCCUAGCGGAUCAGAUAUGGGAUGUUAGAGAAACAGUUGAAUCAAGGAUGAUUUGUUGGGGUUUUGCCCUGAACAGCUGAAGAAUGGUGAUAUGGUAAUGAUGUUUACAGAGAAGGAGGGAUGGAGUGAGCUUGGGUAUUGGAGUGAGUGGCCAGUCAAGAGCCUGUGUGGACACAUUGAGUUGAAGAGGCUGGUAGAUAUUUAAGUGGAGAUGUCAAGUUGGCUGUUGGUUAUACCAAUACAGAUUUGUAACAAAUAUCAAAAACAGGGAUACAAUUUGGGUAUUUAUUAGGCUAGAGAGUCUAUUUAAAGCAAGGCUUUGAAUUAAAAAAAAAAAAAAAAAAAAAAAAACAAAAAAAACACCUGAGGAAUGAGUAAGACAGGAGAGGAAGCUGUGUUGUUAGACUUAUGGCUAAUAUCAAGAAGGGAAGGACCCGAUGAAGGGCUGUUACAAGGCACAGGCUGGGAGAGAAGAGGAAAACUAGAAAGUCAGUCUGUCCUGGACAAGAGUAAAAGGUAUCUUGAAGAGGAAGAGGGUGGAUCAGUUGUGGAAGACGGUGUUAAUUUUUCUGAACUCCAUCACUUUCUAACUUUAGCUUGGAUUUGAAGAUAUAUCGAAUGGCAACACGGACUUCCAAGGCUAAGCUUCACUGUGCUAUUUUUCUCUGAGGAGAGAGAAAAAUCACAAUGCAUCUCUCUUCAUCUGCUUAGACAGGGUGUGAGCAGACAUUUCCCACAGUUACAAACAAUGAGCAAAGAGCAAGGUCAGCAGAGUAGGGAGAUGUAAAUUGGUAGAAUUUACAAGAGCUAAGCUAACAUUUACACAGAUUUUCAAAUUACCCAUCAUCUUUUGAAAAGCUGCAAAGCACAUUACAUUCUAUAAUUUAGUCUCAAUUGCGUUUUAAGUAACUUUAUAUUCUCUGCCAGAGUCCUACUUAGAGUAGUAGGGAAAGCUAUUUUGUUCUAGGUAAGAGAAAGUUUAAUGUCCCCAGAUUGGUUUCUUUUCUGUAGGCUUGCAUCAUUCUGUUUACUUUGGAGUCUUCUGAAUUGAAUGUCAGAGGUCAGUGUCUGUCACUUGACCUGAGGGAAAUGGUAGGUUUUUGUGUUUUGCUUUCCGUUUCCCAGAGAAAGGAAAGGAUGACAAUAUAUUUGCCUCUUCCUCUUCAGUGUCAGAUCUUACAACAGCAAAUGCGAUGGCCAGUACUUCAUGACCCUCUUAGGACCCUCUUGGAUCAUUCGAGCUCUAGGAUAGUCAAGGGCUUACUGGCUCGGACAUAAUUUUAGUCAACUCAAAUAAGGUCUAUGUUACCAUUGAUGUGACCUGGAGACCUGUUGGAGAAACUGUGCAACAAAACCAGAUCCUGGAGUUAUCUUCACAAUGCCAAUGGCAGAAAUAUCUAGAGUUAUAGGUACCACUAAUACACAAACAAAUGAUGUCUACCCACCAAUCAACCAAAAUUUUACAUUGGAAAGUUUCUUUCACUACAAUCUAUUAAAACUAAACUAACUGUGUCUUAAGUAGCCUUUGGUAAGAGGUGGCACCAUUUUUAUUUCUUCUGCACUUCUCCCUGAGCUCCAGCCUCUCCCUGGAAAGCCUCUUCUUCUGAAGGCUGAAUCUAUUAAUAGCAGAACUUGAUGAGGAAGAUGCCAGCAUCCUUCUGGAAUUCACAGAGCCCUGGCCAGCCUCCUCACAAAGGUCUGAAUCUCCUUUAAUCCAACAAAAUUAACUCAAGAGCAUGUGGGACCUGAAAUCCAUGUUCUGCCUAUUAUGAGAGGUGCUGAAGGCCAUGCAGAGGACCUGCGUUUCACUUCUGAGAUGCUUUUUAAACAAAAGGUCUGUUUUGGAAGCUCCACAAGGAAGAAGGUUUAUAUCCGGGAAUCUCUCUUCUGGACUGUGAGACUUGAUUGGGUCAAAGAUGUCCCAUCUCUGCGUUAGUGUUGUUAAGGGCAGUUGACUGAAAUCAACCAUAGAAAGAGUAUUUAAACCACAAAAAUGGGCACGAACAGUAGGACUUUUUCUUUUUAUUCUGGGAAGCCAGCUUCAUGGAACAAGACCCUCACCAUCUUGCCCCCUCGGCCCUCCCCAGUCCAUACUUGAAGAGCUGUGUUCCAAAUAAAACACUCAUGAGAAACA